rnacentral:rRNA from 1 species
UGCCAGCCGCCGCGGUAAUACGGAGGGUGCGAGCGUUAAUCGGAAUUACUGGGCGUAAAGCGUACGUAGGUGGUUUGGUAAGUCGGAUGUGAAAUCCCUGGGCUUAACCUGGGAAUUGCAUUCGAAACUGCCUCACUAGAGUCUAGCAGAGGGAUGCGGAAUUCCGGGUGUAGCGGUGAAAUGCGUAGAGAUCCGGAGGAACAUCAGUGGCGAAGGCGGCAUCCUGGGCUAAGACUGACACUGAGGUACGAAAGCGUGGGGAGCAAACAGGAUUAGAUA